rfam:Triticum urartu cultivar G1812 contig583861, whole genome shotgun sequence.
UAAAUACUCCCUCCGUUCCUAAUUACUUGUCUUAGAUUUGUCUAGAUAGGGAGGUAUCUAGUUCUAGAGCGGCUCCUCGCCGGAGCGGCUCCUCGCCGUAUCUAGACAAAUCUAAGACAAGUAAUUCGGUACGGAGGGAGUACCAA